CUUUUUCUGAGAGAUAAUUUUCUCUAAUUAGUGCAUUACAGAGGUCAUUUUUUGAUUUUCCUAAGGGUUUUUAAAAUAAUUGAGAAAAACCCGAAAGAAAAUUAUGAGUAAGACGGCAAAUAUUUUCAGCACGCUGCGACGUUACUGUUUUCAUUGUUUUUAAUUUUUGUUCGCAGUGUUUUCUACCAGAAAUAUUGCUCCAAUCGAAAAAUGGCAAGAUAUCGAUUUUGUUAAUUUUAUUAUAUAG